rnacentral:rRNA from 1 species
AGUGAACGCUGGCGGUAGGCCUAACACAUGCAAGUCGAACGGCAGCACAGUAAGAGCUUGCUCUUACGGGUGGCGAGUGGCGGACGGGUGAGGAAUACAUCGGAAUCUACUUUUUCGUGGGGGAUAACGUAGGGAAACUUACGCUAAUACCGCAUACGACCUACGGGUGAAAGCAGGGGAUCUUCGGACCUUGCGCGAUUGAAUGAGCCGAUGUCGGAUUAGCUAGUUGGCGGGGUAAAGGCCCACCAAGGCGACGAUCCGUAGCUGGUCUGAGAGGAUGAUCAGCCACACUGGAACUUAGACACGGUCCAGACUCCUACGGGAGGCAGCAGUGGGGAAUAUUGGACAAUGGACGCAAGCCUGAUCCAACCAUACCGCGUGGGUAAAGAAGGCCUUCGGUUUGUAAAGCCCUUUUAUUGAGAAAAAAAAACAGCAAGUUAAUACCCCGCUAUUCUGACGGUACCCAAAGAAUAAGCACCGGCUAACUUCGUG